GAUGAACGCUAGCUACAGGCUUAACACAUGCAAGUCGAGGGGCAGCAUUUUAGUUUGCUUGCAAACUAAAGAUGGCGACCGGCGCACGGGUGAGUAACACGUAUCCAACCUGCCGAUAACUCGGGGAUAGCCUUUCGAAAGAAAGAUUAAUAUCCGAUAGCAUAUCAAGAUCGCAUGAUCUUGAUAUUAAAGAAUUUCGGUUAUCGAUGGGGAUGCGUUCCAUUAGUUAGUUGGCGGGGUAACGGCCCACCAAGACGACGAUGGAUAGGGGUUCUGAGAGGAAGGUCCCCCACACUGGUACUGAGACACGGACCAG
rnacentral:rRNA from 1 species